rnacentral:rRNA from 1 species
AUACGUAGGGAGCGAGCGUUGUCCGGAAUUACUGGGUGUAAAGGGAGCGUAGGCGGGGAAUCAAGUUGGGUGUGAAACCUAUCGGCUCAACCGGUAGUUGCAUUCAAAACUGAAUCUCUUGAGUGAAGUAGAGGCAGGCGGAAUUCCUAGUGUAGCGGUGAAAUGCGUAGAUAUUAGGAGGAACACCAGUGGCGAAGGCGGCCUGCUGGGCUUUUACUGACGCUGAGGCUCGAAAGCGUGGGUAGC